rnacentral:rRNA from 1 species
UACGUAGGGGGCAAGCGUUGUCCGGAUUUACUGGGCGUAAAGCGCGUGUAGGCUGACCGGAAAGUCGGGCGUGAAAGCCCUGGGCUCAACCCAGGAACUGCACUCGAAACUCCCGGUCUAGAGUGGUGGAGAGGGAAGUGGAAUUCCUGGUGUAGAGGUGAAAUUCGUAGAUAUCAGGAGGAACACCAGUGGCGAAGGCGGCUCCUGGACACCAACUGACGCUGAGACGCGAAAGCGUGGGGAGCAAACAGG